CUUGGCAAACUGGCUAUAAAAUAUCAGCUAAAUAAGUGGUAGUUGCUAAUAUUCGUGUUAAUAAUAUAUGUGACAGGUCUUUAUGAAGAGUAACAUUUUACAUAUACUGUUUUUAAUUUUUUUUUUAGGGUCAAGAUCUUUUAUUUCCUGAUUUUAAAAACUGCCACCAUCAUGGCCCUCCUAGGUUCUUCUGCACCUUUGUCCCAGUGGCUCCUGGCAGUAGCUCCACACAACUCCUUUCUUGCCCCUGCCUUUUGUCCUUCUAGUCCUUACCCAUCAGCUUGAAUUUGACAGAUCAAUUUGCUUUGUUCCUCCAACCUGUGGGAGUAAGGACUGGAUUCUUCUUCCUGGUGGAGGGUUCCUCAUCAGCCAAUGUUCAAGCCCAGCCUACUACUGAUUAGUUCUACUUGCUCUUGGCUUUUGUGCCUUUUGCAUCCAGCACGCUCUGGGCAUGAGCAAGCUGCUUUACAGAAUCUAGCACGAGGAUUCCAGGCAGCACCAGCCACAAGCCGUUCAUGAAGACAAAAUAAAACCAGAAGUAGAGCUGGUGGCCCAGCUCCCCACGCUGGAACCCGUCCCGGUGCUCUAUUAGGAAAUAGAGCACAUCCCCAUAGUCUAACCCACAGAGACCACAAGUUGUAAGAGGAAGCGCAGGGGCUGCUGGCGGAGAAAGGCAAUCACCACCCACAGGCUGAGUGGUCCCCAAAGGCAAGCUGUGAUGGCCUCCAUGCAUAUCGUAAAGUUGUCACUCAGGAUGUACCGGCUGUCUCCCUUGGCAUAUUCUUUCCAGAGUUGGGACAAGAAAGCUUGGUCUCCAAGAAGGUCUUCGUGAUAAAGGCUGAACCAGCCCUCAAUCACCAUGUGAAUGAACCCACACACUGCAAACCAGCACAGGGACAGUCACCGCCAAGUCCCCAGGGGCAUGACCACAGCACUACCUGACAACAGCCAUGUGGUCACAACCAAGACCCCAGAGACAGAGAAGAGGCUGGCCAGGAGAUGCCAAGUGGGGCAGUCGUUAGACACAAAGUUGUCCAGCCUCAGAGUGUCAAAAGUGCUGGCAUCUAGAAGGAAAAUACGGUAUAUCCAGAAAUCUGUGUCAUCUUUGGCUCUUCUUUUUUUCUCUCAUUUCCACUAUCUACUCACAGAACUGAGUUAAUGGCUCUUCCUAUAUCUG
rnacentral:lncRNA from 1 species